UACGGAGGGUGCAAGCGUUAUCCGGAUUCACUGGGUUUAAAGGGUGCGUAGGUGGGAAUGUAAGUCAGUGGUGAAAUCUCCGUGCUUAACAUGGAAACUGCCAUUGAUACUAUGUUUCUUGAAUCUUCCGGAGGUCAGCGGAAUAUGUCAUGUAGCGGUGAAAUGCUUAGAUAUGACAUAGAACACCAAUUGCGAAGGCAGCUGACUACAGGGGCAUUGACACUGAGGCACGAAAGCGUGGGGAGCAAACAGG
rnacentral:rRNA from 1 species